GGAGCAUUAAUAAAAUAACCAACUAAACAAAAUUAAUCAAGCCAACAAAAACAAAUUGGUUUCAAGUUUAAACUUUUUACGCGGAGUAUAAAAAAUAAAAGAAAGGCAAAAUGAGUCAAGCUUGCUUCCUUUUGCUGAUUUUGUUGUUUGGAUUCUUAGCUUUCUGUGCGGGACAACCUUACUAUAAAAGGACAACGACGACCACCAUGGACACAUUGCAAUCCUUAGCUAAACUUUUGUAUAGCAUUUUUGGUGGUCUUAACUGGGGUUAAUUUGACCAAAAUGUAUUCCUUUAAAAUAGAGCUUCUUGUUAACGA